rnacentral:misc_RNA from 1 species
GAUGAAGAACGCAGCGAAAUGCGAUACUUGGUGUGAAUUGCAGAAUCCCGUGAACCAUCGAGUCUUUGAACGCAAGUUGCGCCCGAAGCCAUUAGGCCGAGGGCACGCCUGCCUGGGCGUCACACGUCGUUGCCCCCCAUCUACUCCUUCGGGAUUGCGGGGGGCGGAUGAUGGCCUCCCGUGCGCCUCGUCGCGCGGUUGGCAUAAAUGCCAAGUCCUCGGCGACGCACGCCACGACAAUCGGUGGUUGCGAAACCUCGGUUGCCCGUCGUGUGCGGUCGUCGCGCAUCGAGGGCUCGAAAAAAUUGCCGGGCUCCGGCUCGGCUUUCAACGCUACCCCAGGUCAGGCGGGGUUACCCGCUGAAUUUAAGCAUAUCAAUAAGCGGAGGA